rfam:Stegodyphus mimosarum contig7103, whole genome shotgun sequence.
GCCUUCGUGGUGUAAUGGUCAGCACGCUCGGCGCAUAUUAGAGAGGUCUGAGGUUCGAAUCCUGGUAAGGGCA